rnacentral:rRNA from 1 species
UGAGGAACAUGACCUUCGGCGGGGGAUAGCCGGCCCAACGGCCGGGUAAUACCGCGUACGACCACAUGGGGACAUCCCUGAGUGGUGAAAGCAGCAAUGCGCCGAUGGAGUGCCUCGCGGCCUAUCAGCUAGUUGGUGAGGUAACGGCUCACCAAGGCGACGACGGGUANCUGGUCUGAGAGGACGACCAGCCACACUGGAACUGAGAUACGGUCCAGCUCCGUAGGUG